AUGAGGCUCCCUGCUCAGCUCCUGGGGCUGCUGGUGCUCUGGGUUGCUGGAUCCAGUGGGGACACUGUGGCAACCCAGAAUCCACUCUCCCUGCCUGUCCCUCCUGGAGAGCCGGCCUCCAUCUCCUGCAGGUCUAGUCAGAGCUUCCUGCAUAGUGAUGGAAACACCUAUUUGGAUUGGUACCUCCAGAAGCCAGGCCAGUCUCCAUGGCUUCUUAUCUACACAAUUUCUCACAAAUUCUAUGGAGUCCCAAGCAGGUUCAGUGGUAGCAGGUCAGGGACAGGUUUCACACCUAAAUUCAGCAAGGUGGAGGCUGAGGAUGUUGGAGUUUAUUGCUGUGAAUAG